CGACGGGUAGCCGGCCUGAGAGGGCGACCGGCCACAUUGGGACUGAGAUACGGCCCAGACUCCUACGGGAGGCAGCAGUGGGGAAUAUUGCACAAUGGGCGCAAGCCUGAUGCAGCGACGCCGCGUGCGGGAUGACGGCCUUCGGGUUGUAAACCGCUUUUGACUGGGAGCAAGCCCUUCGGGGUGAGUGUACCUUUCGAAUAAGCACCGGCUAACUACGUGCCAGCAGCCGCGGUAAUACGUAGGGUGCAAGCGUUAUCCGGAAUUAUUGGGCGUAAAGGGCUCGUAGGCGGUUCGUCGCGUCCGGUGUGAAAGUCCAUCGCUUAACGGUGGAUCCGCGCCGGGUACGGGCGGGCUUGAGUGCGGUAGGGGAGACUGGAAUUCCCGGUGUAACGGUGGAAUGUGUAGAUAUCGGGAAGAACACCAAUGGCGAAGGCAGGUCUCUGGGCCGUCACUGACGCUGAGGAGCGAAAGCGUGGGGAGCGAACAGGAUUAGAUACCCUGGUAGUCCACGCCGUAAACGGUGGAUGCUGGAUGUGGGGACCAUUCCACGGUCUCCGUGUCGGAGCCAACGCGUUAAGCAUCCCGCCUGGGGAGUACGGCCGCAAGGCUAAAACUCAAAGAAAUUGACGGGGGCCCGCACAAGCGGCGGAGCAUGCGGAUUAAUUCGAUGCAACGCGAAGACCCUUACCUGGGCUUGACAUGUUCCCGACAGCCGUAGAGAUACGGUCUCCCUUCGGGGCGGGUUCACAGGUGGUGCAUGGUCGUCGUCAGCUCGUGUCGUGAGAUGUUGGGUUAAGUCCCGCAACGAGCGCAACCCUCGCCCUGUGUUGCCAGCACGUCGUGGUGGGAACUCACGGGGGACCGCCGGGGUCAACUCGGAGGAAGGUGGGGAUGACGUCAGAUCAUCAUGCCCCUUACGUCCAGGGCUUCACGCAUGCUACAAUGGCCGGUACAACGGGAUGCGACACCGCGAGGUGGAGCGGAUCCCUUAAAACCGGUCUCAGUUCGGAUUGGAGUCUGCAA
rnacentral:rRNA from 1 species